rnacentral:lncRNA from 7 species
UGUCCUUAUGUUUCUAUGUUAGGAUCAUGCAACUGGAAACCUCAUGUUCUUCUCUGCCGAAGGAAGAUUAAAACUAGGACCUGUUUAUCACUGAAAAGAAGUGCCCAUCUGAGGUUCUUCCUAUCAGCACAGGAGGCAGAGACAAGAUUUCUAAUGAACCAUUCAGUACAAGCACUUUGAAACUACCUAAUCACCAACAGAUUUCACCUGCAACAGACUUAGGUAAAUACUCAGAACUUUCCAGCUGGAGAUGCAUGUUAUGAAGAGCAUUAAGAGCUGCAGAAUGGACAUACUGAUGUGAUGAAUGAAUUAACCAAGGAGCAUAAUACCUCAUUGCCAACUGAGAGCAAAUCCUUGAAGUUCAGUGCUAUUCCACUUAAAAUAUUUCAGUUGGAUCUCAAACCAAGAUGUGCAGAAGAAUUGUUACCACUGAAGAAGCUGGAUUUUUUGUCAAGAAGGAGACUCGUGAUUCCUUUGCUUCAGGGAAAUUUAAAUGAAGAAACGUUCAAUUUGGAGGUUUGCCUAUUCUACUUGGAAAAUGUUAAAAAAUGGGUUGAAGAAAACAAGAAGAGCCAGAAAAGACUGCAAAGGAAAAUUGCCAUAUCUUUAGUCAAGUUUAUAAAUCUUUCCCUGGGACUUUUUGACAAAUGACUGCCCACCAACUUUGUGAGAUUUCUCCUGGACAUGCCUCAGAAACUUCUGGCAUUUUGCCAUGCAGGUUUGCCCGCUAGAAUUUCUCAAAUGUUUUUUUUUUUAAUUUUUCAUGGGAGGAGGUUGUUUUCUCAAGGAGUGUUGGUGCCUUUUCCAUCCAGUCUCUCUCACUUUUCUUAAGUACAGACUCGCUUACAUUCAGAUUAAUUUUGGGCAAGGUCAGGAGUAGUGAAAUGGCCAUAAGCAUAAUGCUGUUGCUGCUGUUUUCACAGGCCAUCUCUGAGAGCAGCUGAAGUUGCAUGUUUUUCUGGCUCGGUUGAGAAGUAAUUUGGAAUAGAGCUCCUUUGACUCAAGCAUUGAAGCCAGACCUAAAUGCUUGAGUGAGAUUUCCACACUAACAUAAACUGAAGCACAUCCAAACAUCUGCUGCUCAACAUGCCUGAGAGUUAUCUUUCACCCUCUUGCCAGAUUCCUUGGUGCCACAUAUAGAUUUGUAGUUCCCUCUGUGGAUUUCUUUUCCCUUUUCCUCUGCUGUGCUCUUCUGAUCAUCCUCUAAUGGACCUGAACCUCUGUCAAAUACAUCUCUUUGCCACUGUGG